rnacentral:rRNA from 1 species
UCAGUUCGGAUCGGAGUCUGCAACCCGACUCCGUGAAGCUGGAUUCGCUAGUAAUCGCGCAUCAGCCAUGGCGCGGUGAAUACGUUCCCGGGGCCCUUGUACACACCGCCCGUCAAGCCAUGGGAGCCGGGGGGUGCUUGAAGUGCGUCGCCGCAAGGCGCGCCCUAGAGCAAAACCGGUGACUGGGGCUAAGUCGUAACAAGGUACC